AAUAAGGUAUUUGGAGAGAAAGAGACCACAUUCACAUACUUUUUAUGACAACGUGUUGAAGUUCUAGUUUAUUGUGGUUGUUCAUCUCUUACUGUACCUAAUAAACGAAACUUUAUCAUAGGUGUGUAUGUAUAGGAAAACAGCCUGUAUAGGGUUCAGUACUAUCCGUGGUUUAGGCAGACACUGGAGGUCUUGGAACUGG